rnacentral:misc_RNA from 1 species
UAAUAAGUGUUUUAUGGCACUUUUAAAUCCAUACCCACCUUGUGUGCAAUGUCAGUCGAUCUUCUUCAUGGAGAUCGACCAAACAUCAACCUUUAUCUUUUAACUCUUUGUCUGAAAAAUAUUAUGAAUAAACAAUUCAAAAUA